rnacentral:tRNA from 1 species
GCCUCCAUAGUUUAGUGGUAAAACAGGGCUCUCGUACGUCAAGCUCAGCCCGGUGUUCGAUUCACCGUGGAGGCA